rnacentral:rRNA from 1 species
AAAUUGAAGAGUUUGAUCAUGGCUCAGAUUGAACGCUGGCGGCAGGCCUAACACAUGCAAGUCGAACGGUAACAGGAAGCAGCUUGCUGCUUUGCUGACGAGUGGCGGACGGGUGAGUAAUGUCUGGGAAACUGCCUGAUGGAGGGGGAUAACUACUGGAAACGGUGGCUAAUACCGCAUAACGUCGCAAGACCAAAGAGGGGGACCUUCGGGCCUCUUGCCAUCAGAUGUGCCCAGAUGGGAUUAGCUUGUUGGUGAGGUAACGGCUCACCAAGGCGACGAUCCCUAGCUGGUCUGAGAGGAUGACCAGCCACACUGGAACUGAGACACGGUCCAGACUCCUACGGGAGGCAGCAGUGGGGAAUAUUGCACAAUGGGCGCAAGCCUGAUGCAGCCAUGCCGCGUGUAUGAAGAAGGCCUUAGGGUUGUAAAGUACUUUCAGCGGGGAGGAAG